CUGUGGCUCAAUGAUGACUAUACUUUUUUCCCCAUCGGAUCGGCCAUGUCGACAUGCUAUAUUUUAAGCCAAAAAUGUCUGAUGGUGACAG